rnacentral:lncRNA from 1 species
UCAUUGCAUUUUAAUAAAGUAUUAAAGGUAAUUCAAGUUUUACUUAUUUAUUUACUGAUUGAGUCUAAUGUAUGCAGGUCGAAUCAAAUUCAUCUGGGAUGAUCCCUGAACCCAAUCGCAUGCACCCCAUGAAUCGGAUCUUCCUAACCAAUUAGAGUCGACCCCAAUUUUCCUUUUCAACACAUGGCCACCCCAAGGUUCACUUGUCUUCUCCCGUGCUCCGUACCUGAUCCAAGCUACACUACCACAAUUCCAAUUGCAAGCCAUCUCAGCCAUUCAUCUUGCAUCCACGUCAUCCUUCCCACGCUCAUAUUUAAACUUCCCCUCGCGUCCGUGUCGUCGUCCACAUCGAGUUCAUCUUUAUCCCAUCUCCCAACCAGCUCCGGCUCUCAUUUUUGUUCUGAUCAUCCAAAUCCCAGCAUCCUCUCCCUUCGUAAUAAAGCCCCAGCUCAUCCCGCUUUCAUCCGUUCAGCAUCUAUCAACAAAUCCCAGCAUUCGGAUGAAUCUCUUGCAUCCUCUUCCCCUGUUCCGAAACAAAGGUAACAACCAUCCGUGAUUCAAGGCCCCUUCCAGAUUAUUUGCCAGCAUCUUCAUCUCCGCAUCAUCACCGGACCUCAACGUCUGCUCACGAAUCCAGCUUUGCCCUUCUUCGGAAUAGAAUCCAGUCGUUCCCAGAUUUCCUCCCAAGCCGUCAGCCGAAUCCAAGCUUCCCAGACUUCACGGAAACAAAACAGAGCAGCUCACAAAACAACAUCAUCG